GGGGAGUUAGCUCAGUUGGUAGAGCGCCACAAUGGCAUUGUGGAGGUCAUGGGUUCGAUUCCCUUACUCUCCACCA
rnacentral:tRNA from 1 species